CUCUUCCGAGUCCCCACCAUCCUCCUCCCCCUCAUCAUCCUCAUCAGUGCUCAAGAGAGCAUCAAUCUCAUUAGGAUCUUCUUGGUAAGAAGAGGAGACUACUUCUUGGCCGCCGCCAUAGUUACCAUAGACUUCUUGGCCAUAGUUAUAACCAUAACUUCCCCCAGCAUACUCGUUCUGAAACGUGGAAGCCAAUCCGGAAUUCACGAGCCUAGGUGUCAGGUCAGGAUGGUACAUGACUUGGCUGUGGUCAUACGUCUGGUCGAAAAUAACAAAGUUCUUGGGACAGACCGGAGAGGGUUGAAGUUCAACGCCAUGGAAUGGUAACUUGGCGCACGGUGGGAACAAAUCAUCAAAGGAUGAUGAAUAAGGGAAGUUCAUGUUCCCAUCACCCAUUUCGUCAGAGAAGUGGGGAUACUGAUUGUUCUGCAUUAGAGAGACACCCGUGCAAAAGGGUAUAUAAAAGUGAAAAAAAAAAAAACAAAAGUCCUAAACCUUAAAGAACUACGAGCUGCACGGUUACACAACGUUGACAACUGAACCAGAUGCUAGAAUCAACUUGUGGCCAUGUUACUGAAGAGAUAUCACGAUUUGUUCCACCAGAGCCCUUACCCCCCCUCAAACCACAGAAGCUUUCUCCACCCAAAGGAGUUUCAGAAGUCAACACAGCUCUUUCAGAAUUUUUACCAAACACUUAAUAUCUCACAAAACCUUUUUUCGAAACCAAAAGUAGACAGCCGCCCCAAAACUACCCCAAAUUUCCGGAAACUGAAGAAACCAGACUACGUUACAGGCUUAAGCAACUGUCUGAAAUAUUCUGCCUGCAGAGAUUAAAGACAAGCAAGGUUGAAACAUCAGACAAACUAUAGUUUAUGGUCUAACAAAUGAGACAAUUAACCCAAAACAUGUAUUAGAUUGGUCAUAUGUCAAUGGUAACAUAAUUCAAAGUAGUUAUAACCUUAUUUAACAUUUUGAAAAGAGGCGUUACAAGUGUAUGUACCUGAGAAACUUGAACGGAUUGGUAAUUAGCAAUGAAACAUGUAGUCAUCAUAAAGGUUCCUAUUUCUUUCAAUGCUCCCUUCUUGUUUCCAACAAAGCACAUUCUCACACUAAAACAGACACAACAACUACAACAAAGAGCUACUCCGAAAUUUCGGAAACAACGCCUGCAAAAUAAGAAAAGGAAAUGUUAAAAUAGACUAAACAAGAAGCUGUAAGUAAGGUGGCAAUGAGAGAUUAUUAGUUUUCCACAUGGCACCAACCAAAAUAUUAUAUGAAGGCCAAAUGCUCAAUCUUAAAAGACUCAUACAUGAACGCCAUAUUAGCUUUAAGGGACACAAGAAGAUGUAAAACAAGGUGGCCAACGCAAAAAAAAAGACAAUCUAAACUAGAUUACAAACAUAUUAUAUUUGGUUUUAACACAAAAGAAAACAUAUUUUAUUUGUUUAAACUCAAGAUAAUAAUCAGUUACAUAUGAUAUGGCCAAACGAUCUACCCAGAGGAAUUAUAAGCUAUGUGGAAUGCCAUUGGUAAUAGCAGACACAGACAAGAAGUGGCAGAAGCUACUCACUCACCUGAAAGGUAUGGAAAUUUACAGAAUCACGAGGAAAAAGACAACGAGACGAGUGCAAGUCCUGUUGAAAAACAUGUAGAAGGAUGUCCAGGGCAUCUUGAUUCUUUCUCCUAUAAACUUCUGUUUUUUUCUUUUAGUGUAUCAAAACCCCCCUCUUCUUACAAAAACUGCAGAAACAAACAAAAUUAGGACCAAUAAUAAUACUAUUCAAAUAUAACGAAGUUGAGAGGCACUGAAACCGAGGCAAAGUCCAAAAAAUAUCUAAUCAGAGACCAGAAACAGAGGAACUAGAACACAGAGAAUGUUUCAUUCAUGAUCCAGAACUAUAAAAGGAUACAACCUCAAUAAACAGAGUACCAUAAAGGUCCUUAACCAAAGACAUUAACAAUCGGAUCAAGAAGGGUUUCUUCCCUUUGCUGAAAAAUGCUAUACUGAUCACCAAGCAAAAAACAGAACAAGAAACAGAGUAUUCACGUGAUCAUGAUUGGUUUUAUUCAGAAAACAAAACUCAAUUACAGAUAAACUACACAGUAAUUCACUGGAGGAAUGAAUGAACAUCUGAGAAAAUAGAAACUAAUUAAAAAAACAAAAUUUACUAGAAGAUUAAGAAAGUAAAUAGAACUCUAAGUCAAAAAUUGCGGCGCUAUGAAGAAGCAAAAAAAAAAUCACAUACCGUAAUGAGUAAAGAAGAUCAAUAAAAAGGAAUCCUUUCUGAGUAAAACUUAAAGCUUGAUCAAGAACUGUGGGAGGAAGUUGCAGGAGGAGGAGGAGGAGAAGAUCUAGAGAGAGAGAGAUAAGAUUGGCAAAGACAAAGGGGGGAGAGAGAGGGGGAAGAAAUAGGAGGGAAGUGACAGAGAGCGUGGCCUUCUUUUUCUGGUGCGGUUUGUUUGUUGUUGUUUGGUCUGUCCAUUUUCAUUUUAAUGACAUUCAUAUGUGCUCCUAUUGUUUAAAGUUUUAGCACGCUUUGUGUGCGUACUCUACUACUUGUUUCUUUUUUUAUUACAGCAAAAAGAUGUUAAACUUUAGUGGAUAUUUUUUUGGAGAUAUCAAUUUUUUUGCACUCCUAUUAAUUUUGAUUCAUCCCAGAUCAAAUCUUGGACAAAAUUUGUCUUUUUACAAGUUUUAUGAUAAAUAAAAUUAAUGUAAAAAACAGUAGAUAAAAUCUUGGUGUAUGACUACAGUAACUAAAAUAAUCUUAGAUAGUUUAUCAACAAAAGUGUUUCUGAUAUGUUGUUUAUUUUGUUUUUAUUUCUAUCUAUUUUUAAUAAAAUAAUUAUUAGAUUAAAGUAGAUUUCAUUAAUACAUAUCUUCAGUUUAAACUAUCUUAAACACUUCUAUAUUCAUCGCGAUUUUUUCGAAAUAGAAAAAUGUAUGUGUCUCUAAUAAAAUUCUUUUUAAAGUUAAAAAAAAAUGCAUAUCUUCAAUAAUUUAUUAAAGAUAACAAAGAGAAAUAAAUAAUUGGAGAGAGUUCAACGGUUUAAGAAUUACUUAUUUUGAACAUAUAUUUUAAUGAUUAUAUUUAUAACAAAAGUCUAAUUGAUUCUGUAAUACGGAUUACAAAAUUAGCAUGAAUAGCGUAUCCCAUGUCUAUCACAGUAUCACUACGUAGAUAGAAAAUUUCGAAUGGAAAUUAUAAGUUUCAAAGUGAAAAAAAUAGUAACUAAUAAAUUAAGUGAUGUUUUUGAUAAUAAAAUAAAAAUAAAUAGUGGAAAAUAAAGGAGAGGAAGGGAGCACGCGUGAGAGGAUGGACAGUAGAGAGUCAAACACGGGGAGUGUGAGCCGUUGGAUGAAGCAAUCUGAGUGGUUCCCGUUUAAUGCGGGCAUGAUGGUGACCGUAGGAUUGCGAGAGCACGCGUGAAAAGUUUCGUAGGUCCCCCACCAAACUCUUCUUCUUCUUUGUCAAUUUUAUUUAAUUUUUGUGUGUGUUAAAAUUAUAAUUAUUAAAAACAAAAUAUUCAAAGUGUGUGUAAUAAUCGACGACACCAUGUACUCAUCUCUUUGGGCUCUUGCCCCAACCCCAUACUUCCACAUUAUACUUAUUUCGAACCAAACCUCAUGAUUUCACUCUGUACAUUUGAGCUGUAAUUAUAAGUACAUAAAAAUUGAGUGUCUGACUCAAUGUUGGCAUGCGGGUGGGUUAUAUUUUGUUCUCCACUAGUUUGAUUUGAUUGGUAUCCACAACACAAUCACACUGUUUCAUAAUCACUGUUUGCUUUGUUUACUAAUCACGCGAAACAGUAAGCGCGAAUAAAUAUUUGGUACAAAAGUAAACAUGCGGCACUAAGUAAGUUAGUAAUCGUAUACGCAUAUGAAUCGUGUGGUUUAAUUCAGAUCAUUAUUUGGUGUAUAUUUUAGACUUCAAGGAAACGAUGCCACAUUUUUUGAACUGAAAUCAACCGACCCAAUCAUUUCUAUCAAAAGAAAAAUGGUUAUACCAUAACCAUUGGUUGGCAAUAAAAUGGAUACUUAUAAAUGUUGGGAUUGUCUUUAGUAUUGGCAGAAAGAUAAUUUAGUGAUAAAUGACUAUUAUUGAAGAAAGCUCUUAAAACAUAGCAUCGAUGUGUUAAUCCAGUGUCUAAAAUAUUAUUAGUAUUCUAUUCAUAUUUUAAUACAAUUUGAUUAUGCAAUUAAAUUUCAAUAUUUUAAAUAAUUAUAUUAUAUGAAUUGUAUACGUGGAAAUUAGUCUUUCAAUUUUGUUUGAUAGAAUGUUUAGCGUACUUUUUUAUUAAUUUUAGAUGAGACACUGUUCGAGGCCACCAAUGAUGGUGUUCAUAGUGCUAAUGAAGGUUCUUAAGUGCCGGUGAAACCCACUAUAGUGCUGAGCAUGAUCUUGUAGUGUGUUUUGAACUUUUGAAAACCAAACCGGAUUCGUCUAGUCUAACCGUAUAUUUCAUAUUGUCAACAAUGAUUUAAGGAUAUGAUUUCCGUUGAACGGCUACAAUUGCUGACCGAUACAAUAAAAACCCCGUUUCAUGAAAUUUAACUUAACAUAUCAAAAUUCUAAACCAGAUGUCUUUCUAUUCUAACAUAUAUUUAAUAUAGUAUUUUGUGGUCUACCAAUAGUAGAGAUCAGUUUGUUUUUAUAUUCUGGCAGAAACAUAAAUGAAAAAAUCGACGAAAACCCGUAAACGCUAUGUACUUACUGAUCACUUCCAAAAUAUGACAACCGAGAACUCUAGCAAUUGUUUUGAUGAAACGAAAACGACCUUGAGCCAAAUUCGUUGACAAUUGGUGUUUAGACACAAGCAAAAGCAUGCAUGGUGAUUAAUAUCAUUUAUUUUUAUUGUAAUGCAUAGUUAUUAGCAUGCCGGAACAUCUCAGAUGUAAACUCCAUUAUUCUUCUUUUAAAAUAAAGAAAAAUAGAAUACCGAGUCAAAAUGAUCCAAUUUUAUUUACUCCAUAAUAAAAUAAUGAACAAAAAAAUAGAUUACUCUAUUUAUGGAAAUAAAUCUAUUUUUUAUUCGAUUGGUGAAAAAUAAAUUAAAAUUGAAGUAUUUUUUUAAUUCUAUACUCUAUUUUAUUAUAUUUUAAAGUAAAAAUAGAACGGAAUUAAAUAUAUCCUUACAAUUUAAUAUCAUUCAAGUUUUAUUGCAAUUCAUAGUGGUGUGACAAUUAAAACUCAUACAUCAAUGAUUUGUUUUAGUUGUCAAUUUAUAUCAAUCACACUUUUAACUACGGUAAAAUGACCCGAAAAACACCCCCAGAAUUAGUCCCAAAAACAACAACAUUGAUUAACAUCUUUCAACACUUGACAAUCGAAGAAUGCAUUUCUAAAACAAAAAUCAUCUCUUUGUUUAUGGAACAUAAAAACCUAAACUUAUUUACCAACGAGCUGUUAGCGUAGUGGUAAAAGAGUAUCUAGUAGAUAUUCAACCAUUCGGAUUUAAUUGUUGUUGAAAAUGACUAUAUAUAGUGUUUGAAAUUUCGGCAAAAAAGUGAAACCAUUUUUUUUACGCAAAAAAAAAACUAAACUUAGGAUGAUAUUGGAUACUGAGUAGUGAGUACAUAUUAGUUGGAUACAAGUACAACCACUAUAUAUGGAACCAUAACAAUAACAAAUUUCAUAUAGUGGUGCAAUGCAACCUUAACAUGCAAAACACGAGUUAAUCGAAAGUUUUUCAAUGUUUUUAGUUGCUUUAUUUAAAAUUUUUUAGGAAGAUUCCACAGUUUUAUAUAUACUUUAUAUAUGCAUAUUUAUUUUACAUUAUACUUCACAAACCAUGAAAGAUAUAAUAUACUAGGUGAUUUUUCCGUGCUCAUGCAAGGGUAUAAAUAUUUAUACAAUAAAUAUACUAUAAUAAUUGAUUGAUAUUUAAUUUUAAUUUUAAAUUAAUUUAUAAUUUAUAAAUUAUUUGGGUAUUUUGUUUACGGUUAUAUUAAGUUCUACUAACAUAAAAACAUAAAAUAAAAGACCAAUCUAAAUAUUAAGAAAACAAAUAAUUUUUUUUUGUAUUGUUUAAAAUUAUGUUUUAAAAUAAAUUUUUUUAAUUUUUCUAAAAUCAAGAUUAUCUAUGUAAACUUGUUGUUUGAAAUCACAUUAUAUACAAAAAUAUAAUUUCAUCUAAAAAAAAUAGAUAUAAAGAAUGUAAUUUUUUGAACAAAAAAGUACUUUAUUACUUCAAAAGUAUAUUUAUGUUAUUUAAAAAUAUGUUUUAAAUGUAGUAUUACUAUUUUGUGAACUUUCCUUUUUAACGAAAUCAUAUUAUAUAUAAUAAAUUUUCGCUUUUAAAUUCAUGUUUUUAACUUUAUAAAUGUUUCCUUUUUAUAUGUUAUUUGUAAGUUUUUUAAAAGAAAACUAUAUAAAAAAUCAAUAGUAAUAUUUAAAUGUGAAAUUUUUAAUUCACUAAGGAUACCUCGGUAAUUAACCGUCGUAAGAAUUAACGUAAGCGCGACACAUAGGAAAGUGACUUCUCAUAUAAUAUUAUAGAGAUAUUCGUAUUAAAUUUUAUUAAUAUUUUAUUUAUCCUAUAUGUUAUUUGAAAAAUAUAAAAGGAAACUUAAAUAAAAAAGAAAGAUUAAAUCAAAUUUUAUUCAUUAAAGAUAUCUUAUUUUAUGUUAUUUAAAUUAUUUGUGAUAAUUUGAGAAAUAGAUUGAUUUAAAUAAAAUGCUUAAGCUUUUAAAAUAUAUAUUAUGUUGUUUAAGAUUAUCUUUUAAAAGGGAACAUUAUUUCUUUACUUUAAAACUAAGAUUAUUUUGUGAACUUUACUUAUUAUGAAUUACACCAUAUAUAAAAUAUAUUUUCGUUUUUAAAUUUUUAAUUUUUCUUUAUUAUUUUGUUUAUUUUAUAAAAUUUUGAAAAAGUAAACCUAAAUAAAAAUAGGAAAAAUAGAAUAAAUAUUUAAUAAUGGUAAUUAUAUAUUAUUGAUUCAUUAAGGUUAUCAUCGUAAUCAACCACUGUGAGAGUUAACGUGAGCGUGACACGUAGGAAACUGACUUCUCAAAUAAUAUUAUAGAGAUUAGAGUAUCUCAAUAUACAUCUUUAUAUUUUCUUCUAAAAUAGAAAACUCUAUUAUAUAAGUAGUUUUACUCAGAUGUAUGCUUCUAUAAUAGAUUUAUUCUAUUUAUUAAAAAAUAUAAAAAUGCCAUUUUGUUUUAUAUUUAGAGAUGAAAUUAACAUUUAUUUAUAUUUUUUUUCCUAAAAACAGAAGAAUUUUAUUAUAGAAACAUAUAUUGAAACAUAUCUCUACAAUAAAUGUUUUCAAUUUCGAAAAUAUCGAGAUGGAUAUAGAAGUGUUUAAGAUGGUUUAAAUGAAGCGUGUAAUUUUUAUCCACCUUUUUCUCCAUCUAAGAGUUUUCUUUUUGAACUUAAACCACUUAAAUAGAUUUCAAAAUUCAUUAAUAUUUGUAUAUUUUAAGGUGAAGAAGAUGAUUUCAAUGUUUACAUUCUAACCAUCAUAUCAUCAUACAAAAAUAAGUUGAAAGCUAAAGAUAUUAUUUUCUAAAUACACUCAAUUAAGUUUGGUAAGUUUGGAGGAUUACUUUGUAAAGUUUGGUAAAAUAUUAAAUUACAUUCUUGCAAGUUGACAGCCAUAGGAAUCAACUUUCAAAUAAAAGCAGAGUCGAUUAAUCAUAUGGUCGUAUAACUAGAUAAAUGAAAUAAGAUAGAAUCGUUUCAUUGGUUCCGCAUAAAGAAAGUUUUGGUUGUAUAACUAGAUAUAAAUGGAUUCCACAUUUCCUAGCUAAGAAUGAUCAUAUAUAGGAUCGUUUUGGACUAUGGAUGCAAAAUGGUUGUAUAACUAGAUAAAUGAAAUAAGAUAUUAUACAUUCUUCUAUAGAAACCAUAUAUCAGUAGAAGCAUAAGAAAUAAAGUUCCAUUGGUUCCGCAUGAAAGAAAGUUUUGGUUAAUAAUCUUUGUUUCUAAAUUGAUUCAUUUUCUAUAUUCAGUAUGAGUGGGUGGAACAAAACAAAACGUUUCCUCUAUAUUUCAUAUUAUUAGGGCAAUUGUCAAUAAUAGCACCUUUUGAAGUUUAUGUCUCAAAAAUAACACUAGAAGGAGAAAGUCACAAAAAUGACAUUCAUUAAAGGGUAAAAUAUCUCUAAUACCCUUGGUUUAAAAUUACACAAAUAAACAAAAAUAAAUAAAAAUAAAUUUUGGUUUAGUGCUAUUUUAGUCUUUUUCUCUUCGUAUUAUCUAUAAUUUUUUCAUCUUUAUUCUACUAUAGUUUCUAUAAUGCUCACCAUUUAUACCUUAACUUGAUGCAUGAUAACAUAUAUAUAUAUAUAUGCGAGUUAAUGUAAAUUAGUAUUUGAAUCUAGAUCUUAUACUAACGGGCGAUAGUGACUUAGUGAGAGACGUUGUCGAGAACGACGAACUAGUUUUAUUGCAUAUCAGUAUUAUGGAUGUGUUGGUUGUAUUGAUCAAUUUCGCUAGCUAUGAAUAUACAUUAGAAUCAUGCAUGUUAUCUUCUGGCUAACAACAUGAUUCGGAAUUAUGAAUAUUUGAAACUUUGGAUCAUAUACAUAUACAUAUAUGGUAAUUGGUAAGAGUCAUUGUAGAUAAUAUAUCAAAAUUUUGACUAACCACAUGUCCAAUGCUUAAUAUAUUCAUUACCAGCGUUCUUGUGGGAGUCCAAGUGACUCCUUUUCUUUUCCACUCGAUCGGAUUGUAAAGGGAGAGGUAGUUUGAACUGAAAGUUUGUAGAUGCAACGCCGUUUCCUGACGCGGUAAAAGAAAAAACCAAACCGAGAAGAGGAGAGCAAAUCCAGUUUGCUUGUUGAUGAUCUUGGUUGCAUGUUGAAGAAAAAAUGAUUCAAUUACUAUGGGACAGAGAGAUUAUACAGUGGCUAUUUAGGAGUGGAGCUCAAGUGUGAGACAGUUAUGUGGGCGUGUUUACAACCAAAGACUGCGUCACAUGGUCUCAAACAUAUUCUAAGUUUUUUAUCUUCAAGCUUUUGUCUAAGUCAUAUAUAUAUAUAUCCUCCCUUUCAGGUUAGAUCCACAGGACUAUUGGAUCCGCUAACUCGUCAGCCAUUCACGGGAAAGAGACGAGGUGGUGGGAUUCGGUUUGGUGAAAUGGAAAGGGACUCAUUGCUUUGCUUGCUCAUAAAGCUUCCUAUCUAUUACACGACAGGCUCCUCACCUCUUUAGAUCACCACAUUGAAGGUGUUUGUUUGUUGUGUGGAAGCUUUGUAACUUCCUCGGACGUGAACGUUCAAUAGAAGAAGCUGAUUCAAGAGAUUGGAAGGUAGGACUCCAAAGAAGAUGACUUGCGAUUCUUGCAAGACAAGCAAAAGGAUAGAAACUGCGGCAAAUGUCAUAUGUGUUCAGGUACUUAGCUGCAGUAUUGGCGUCAAUGAAUAUUAAUUAAGCAACAUUUGAUUAAUUCAAUAGCAUUAGUUAGCAUUUGCUCAAGUCAUGUGGUGACAUAGUUCAAUCAAAUUGUUCAGUUUUGUAGAAAUAACUUUUGCAGUUGAAUGAUAACAAAAAAACAUAAAUCCAUUUCCAUUUAGUUCUACGACACAGUUGAUAAGACAAAGAGUUAUUGGAUUAAUGGUAAAUCAUACAAAUACUUGCAAAUUUUACAUCUAAACAACAUCUCUUUCUCCUCUUACACUCGCACAAGAAGCAAAUACUGAAGCAAAUUACAGAUAAAACAUCGCUCACUUUCCGGGAACGAAGUUGGUAGCAAAGGCCCAUGCAUUGUUGUUAACUGGAUCAGCCAAAUGGUCAGCAAGAUUCUCCAAAGGUCCCUUACCAGUGACAAUAGCUUGAACAAAGAAUCCAAACAUAGAGAACAUAGCCAAUCUUCCGUUCUUGAUCUCCUUCACCUUCAACUCCGCGAAGGCCUCUGGGUCAGUAGCCAAACCCAACGGGUCAAAGCUGCCACCUGGGUAAAGCAAGUCCUCGGCCUCUCCCAACGGCCCAUCUCCUGCGACUCUGUAACCUUCAACGGCUCCCAUCAAGAUCACUUGAGUAGCCCAAAUAGCCAAGAUGCUCUGAGCGUGAACCAAGCUAGGGUUUCCCAAGUAAUCAAGUCCUCCUUCGCUGAAGAUCUGCGAACCGGCCUUGAACCAAACCGCCUCUCCGAACUUGACUCCGUUCCUGGCCAACAGCUCCGGGAAGACGCAGCCUAGGGCUCCGAGCAUGGCCCACCUGCAGUGGAUAACUUCUAGCUCACGGUUCCUCGCGAACGUCUCGGGAUCGGCUGAGAGACCUGCGGUGUCCCAUCCGUAGUCUCCGGGGAACUCUCCGGUAAGGUAGCUCGGUGGCUCGCCGGAGAAUGGGCCCAAGUACUUGACUCUUUCGGACCCGUACCAUGGGCUGCCUGAUGGGCCCUUUGGCUUGGCUACGGUCUUCCUCAUUGUCACACGGCCGCUUCCAAGGACUUCUGAUGCUGCUGGGGAAAGCUUGACGGCCUUUCCGGCGAAGGCAGGGGAGGAGAGAGCCAUUGUUGAGGCGGCCAUUGCGGUUGAGUGCUGAGCGAAAUAAAACGUUUAUUGGUUGUUGUUUAUGAGCCAAGAGAUGGGUGGUUUGGGUUAGAUGAGGCUUUUCUGUAUUUAUAAUGCAACGUCGAAGUAAUGUCUUAUCUUAGAAUAUCGACCUAUAGUGUUUCUAUUGGCUCUUGACAUAUCUUUUGGUGCUUAGAUUUUUUUUUUGUCUGCUUACGUGGUAGUAGUGGUCCUUACUCAACUCACGGCUGAUUUGUGUGUUUAAGAUAUCUUGUAAGUUUUCAAGCAUCCACUCAUGAAAUGACAUGUGUAAGAUUCGAUGAUCUCUCAAUCCUUUAAAAAUAAGAACACUUGGCUAGAGAUAGAUGAAUAAAAAGUAGAUAAAACUUGAAAAAAAUAUAAGAAUGGUAAUUGAGUUUUUAACAUAUUUAUAAAGUAUCUUAACUUAUGCAGAAAUGUACUCAUACCUUUUUUUUUUUGUAAUUGAAAUGUAAUCAUACUUCAACCUAAAACAUUAUACUCGCAAAAGAAAUUAUAACAUCAUCAAAACCAAAGUUGAGCAUAAGAAGAAGAAAACAAUGAAUACUAUAUCUUUUAUUCAUUAGCAGCUUUCUCAUGUUAAUGUAUCAGUGUCAGCAUAUACAUUGGAGUCCAGAUAAUGGUUUUAAAGCCCCGAUCAUGGUCAUGGACUCAGUAUCAACAUGUCUCUCAAAGUGGAAUUUGGUUGUAGAUUAAAGUGAUCUCCGAGUGAAAAACUAGUCUCAUUUCUUAGUUGAGACCAGACUAAUUAAAUUCUCCUUGUAACUCAAGUUUGUAUUCCACAAUGAAUGAUGAAUCGAAUCAAUUGAUAAUUGAUCAUGUUUAACUGAUAUUUUGAGGGCGAUUUAGUAUAUCAAUAAACAACGAUAUACAACAGUAGUAAUACACUAUCAUUCAUCCAUUUUUGUUAUUUUGGAAACUUAUUAUGUGGAGAAAUGAAACAAUGGGUGGAGAAUUAUGAUUGUUUAAGCAUGAACUCCACGAAAAUUAUAUACAUGUAAAGAGAACAAAGAAACUUGAAAUUAAGUUUGGAGUUCUUGGAGUAUUGGUCAAGGAAAUAAAGAUAAAAUGCAGAGUUUCAGUUUCAGAUUACUUUUAUGAUCUCAUCCCAAUCACUUGGAAGAUCAUCAAGAUUCCCUCAUAAUAAACAUAUUUCACAGUAACAUUUUAAGUACAUCUUAGUGAACUCACCAACUCAACAGUGAGAUCUCCACAGAUAUACAAAAGCAUAGCAUAGUCUUCUCCUUCUUCCUAAUCGUCGUCCACCCCACGACGCCUCUGGAUCUGUAAACGCAUCCAAGAUAAAACUUAACACUCAAUGGUAUUUUGACGGUUAAGAUAAGAGCAAGAGCUUUGUGCUUAUCGUAGCUUGUGUGUACAUACCGUGACUUUUGUCUGUUUGGUUGUCUGGCUGUUUAUCUGUUCCAGCAGCGUUAUAAGUCGCUCCUCAGAAACCUGUGAAGAAAAAAAAACAAAUAAGAGUAUUUCAAUAACCGAGUAGAAACCUUGUGAUAAGAAUUAAGAAGUGAAUGGAUUGGAUUCUUACCUUCUCAACAAUCUGUCCCAUUUGAGCAGCCCUCAAAAUAACAUCCUCUACACCUCUAGCUUUCUCAGGUUUCACCAGGGCAAUUCGAGCAACUACAGAAACAAAACAAGAAGAAUAAGAGAUAUGUUAACAUAUAGAUAUACAGUCACAAGGGAACUAGACUGAACUCAAAAGCAUUUUAGAUGGGAUUGGGACUUACUUCUCUCUCGGGCUUGGGAAGACAAGAUUUGACUAAGCAUCAUUUGUCUACGUUCAUCAGCUUCCCUAAACAUAUAUGUUCCAAUCAGAGAACAGGUGUUAGCUCAAAACCCAAUUUGUUUUCAACUAGAAAAAGAUACAAACCUUUUAGCAUCUUCCUGUGCUCUCUCUUGAUCUGGAUUCUGCUGACUCCCCUGCUUCCCCUGCUUUUGGUUUGGUUGACAAUAAGCCACCACAAAGUGCAAUUCUUUUUCUUUUGAAAAAAAAAAGGUUAAUUAAAAGGACUUACAGUGCCAUGCUGAGCCAUGAGCUCUUGCAUUCUCCUCUGUCGAAUAGCUUCUAGUUCAGGAUCAGCCUUCACACAAGGCAACAAAAGAGAGGCAAGAAUUUAUACACAUAAACUGACAAAGUUUUUAACUUUCGAACUUGGGCUAACAUGACAGAAAGCUAUGAUUGCUCAAAACUAAUCUAUAUAGCAUUAUUGGUUCAAAUCCUGAAUAACACCACAAUCACAAAGUUUCAAUCUUUCUCCGUGACAAAAAGAUUCAAUCUCAUCCAAAGGAACCAACUUUCAAUCAAGCACAGAACAAAUCAUUCACGGUCAAGUUCUACGAAUGAGAUCGAAGAUAAAUUUCCCUAAACCAUAACAAAAACUCAGACUUGUCCAAAGAUAAAACGAAAGAAAAUUGAAAAGGAGCCUAGCAGAUUCGAGAUAAAAGAUUCUCACCAUUGGAGCAGUCUUCUUCUCUUUNNNNNNNNNNNNNNNNNNNNNNNNNNNNNNNNNNNNNNNNNNNNNNNNNNNNNNNNNNNNNNNNNNNNNNNNNNNNNNNNNNNNNNNNNNNNNNNNNNNNGCUAACAACAUGAUUCGGAAUUAUGAAUAUUUGAAACUUUGGAUCAUAUACAUAUACAUAUAUGGUAAUUGGUAAGAGUCAUUGUAGAUAAUAUAUCAAAAUUUUGACUAACCACAUGUCCAAUGCUUAAUAUAUUCAUUACCAGCGUUCUUGUGGGAGUCCAAGUGACUCCUUUUCUUUUCCACUCGAUCGGAUUGUAAAGGGAGAGGUAGUUUGAACUGAAAGUUUGUAGAUGCAACGCCGUUUCCUGACGCGGUAAAAGAAAAAACCAAACCGAGAAGAGGAGAGCAAAUCCAGUUUGCUUGUUGAUGAUCUUGGUUGCAUGUUGAAGAAAAAAUGAUUCAAUUACUAUGGGACAGAGAGAUUAUACAGUGGCUAUUUAGGAGUGGAGCUCAAGUGUGAGACAGUUAUGUGGGCGUGUUUACAACCAAAGACUGCGUCACAUGGUCUCAAACAUAUUCUAAGUUUUUUAUCUUCAAGCUUUUGUCUAAGUCAUAUAUAUAUAUAUCCUCCCUUUCAGGUUAGAUCCACAGGACUAUUGGAUCCGCUAACUCGUCAGCCAUUCAAGGGAAAGUGACGAGGUGGUGGGCUUCGGUUUGGUGAAAUGGAAAGGAACUCAUUGCUUUGCUUACUCAUAAAGCUUCCUAUCUAUUACAUGACAGGCUCCACACCUCUUUAGAUCACCACAUUGAAGGUGUUUGUUUGUUGUGUGGAAACACCACAUUGAAGGUGUUUGACGUGAACGUUCAAUAGAAGAAGCUGAUUGAAGAGAUUGGAAGGUAGGACUCCAAAGAAGAUGACUUGCGAUUCUUGCAAGACAAGCAAAAGGAUAGAAACUGUGGCAAAUGUCAUAUGUGUUCAGGUACUUAGCUGCAGUAUUGGCGUCAAUGAAUAUUAAUUAAGCAAGUUCAAUAGCAUUAGCAUUUGCUCAAGUCAUGUGGUAUAGUUCAAUUAAAUUGUUCACUUUGUAGAAAUAAAUUUUGCAACUGAAUGAUAACAAAAAACAUAAAUCCAUUUCCAUUUAGUUCUACGACACAGUUGAUAAGACAAAGAGUUAUUGGAUUAAUGUUAAAUCAUACAAAUACUUGCAAAUUUUACAUCUAAACAACAUCUCUUUCUCCUCUUACACUCACAAGAAGCAAAUACUGAAGCAAAUUACAGAUAAAAACAUCGCUCACUUUCCGGGAACGAAGUUGGUAGCAAAGGCCCAUGCAUUGUUGUUAACUGGAUCAGCCAAAUGGUCAGCAAGAUUCUCCAAAGGUCCCUUACCAGUGACAAUAGCUUGAACAAAGAAUCCAAACAUAGAGAACAUAGCCAAUCUUCCGUUCUUGAUCUCCUUCACCUUCAACUCCGCGAAGGCCUCUGGGUCAGUAGCCAAACCCAACGGGUCAAAGCUGCCACCUGGGUAAAGCAAGUCCUCGGCCUCUCCCAACGGCCCAUCUCCUGCGACUCUGUAGCCUUCAACGGCUCCCAUCAAGAUCACCUGAGUAGCCCAAAUAGCCAAGAUGCUCUGAGCAUGAACCAAGCUAGGGUUUCCCAAGUAAUCAAGCCCUCCUUCGCUGAAGAUCUGCGAACCGGCCUUGAACCAAACCGCCUCUCCGAACUUGACUCCGUUCCUGGCUAACAACUCCGGGAAGACGCAGCCUAGGGCUCCGAGCAUGGCCCACCUGCAGUGGAUAACUUCUAGCUCACGGUUCCUUGCGAACGUCUCGGGAUCGGCUGAGAGACCGGCGGUGUCCCAUCCGUAGUCACCGGGGAACUCUCCGGUAAGGUAGCUCGGUGGCUCGCCGGAGAAUGGGCCCAAGUACUUGACUCUUUCGGACCCGUACCAUGGGCUGCCUGAUGGGCCCUUUGGCUUGGCUACGGUCUUCCUCAUUGUCACACGGCCGCUUCCAAGGACUUCUGAUGCUGCUGGGGAAAGCUUGACGGCCUUUCCGGCGAAGGCAGGGGAGGAGAGAGCCAUUGUUGAGGCGGCCAUUGCGGUUGAGUGCUGAGCAAAAUAAAACGUUUAUUGGUUGUUGUUUGUGAGCAAGAGAUGG
rnacentral:lncRNA from 1 species